UUCCAAUGAUGAUCAACCUUAGCUCACUCUGAUCCAAUGUGAAAUGACAUGAACAUCUGAGCAGC
rnacentral:snoRNA from 1 species